rnacentral:tRNA from 2 species
GCGUUGGUGGUUUAGUGGUAAAAUUCAUCGUUGCCAUCCGUUGAAGUUAACACCUUCAACAACAUCUCGAUGAGCCCCGGGUUCGAUUCCCGGCCGACGCA